GACGAACGCUGGCGGCGCGCUUAACACAUGCAAGUCGAACGGAAAGGCCUGCUUUCCCUUGUGGAUUGCGGGUACUCGAGUGGCGAACGGGUGAGUAACACGUGAGUGAUCUGCCCCCAACUUGGGUAUAAGCCUGGGAAACUGGGUCUAAUUCCCGAUAGGACUGCAGGGUGGUGCCUGUGGUGGAAAACGAUUUUCUAGUGGUUGGGGAUGAGCUCGCGGCCUAUCAGCUUGUUGGUGGGGUAAUGGCCUACCAAGGCGGCGACGGGUAGCCGGCCUGGGAGGGUGGACGGCCACAUUGGGACUGGGAUACGGCCCAGACUGCUACGGGGGGCAGCAGUGGGGAAUAUUGCACAAUGGGCGGAAGCCUGAUGCAGCGACGCCGCGUGGGGGAUGACGGCCUUCGGGUUGUAAACUCCUUUCGACCGCGAGGAAGCCACCUGGUUGGAAGGGUGGUGACGGUAGUGGUAGAAGAAGCACCGGCUAACUACGUG
rnacentral:rRNA from 1 species